GAAGUCAAGAGGAAGUUCGUUAGUAGUGAGCUAUUGUUAGUGUUGGAGCGCGUCACAAAGGAUUGUUAGAAGCAUGAGAGCAUUGUUAGAUUAGAAGCUUGGAGGUCAAGGCGUGGAGCUGACAGACGCCUCACAUUAGUAAAGAAAUGUGUGUAGUUUUGUGUUAUUAUUUAUUUGUUCUUGUUAUUCUGUGUGUUUAUAAUUUACUUUUUCUUCUUUCAGGUGUCUCAUCAAUGAACCGAAAGUCUGUCAAGUGUUACGGUACGCUGAAGUGAACUGAAGGCGGCUGUUCUUCGCGAGCCACGACAGACCGCUUGCAACACCGUGGGCCAAGAUUAGUUGUAUGACGUUUACUACUACUACUACUACUACUAAGAAUAAGGAUAUAUAGUAAACAGGGGAGAAGAAGAAGGUGAAUUUGAUGAAGAAAGGAAAGAAGGAAGGAUGGAAGGAAGAAAAAAGUAAGGACAGAAGAAGGAGAAUGUAGAUGGAAAGGAAGAAGAAAGAGGACACAGAAUAAAGAAGAAAGGAAAAAGCUUGAAGAGAAAAAAAGAAGAAAGGAAGAAAGGAAAAAAAAAAAGAACAAGGAAGAAAGAAUUAUGAAGAAUGAAGAAAGGAGAUAAAGGGGAAGAAAGGUAAAGAUUGAAGAAGAAAGAAGGAAAAUGAAGAGGAAAGAGGAAAAGAAGAAAUAAAUAAUGAUUAAGAAAAUAAGAAAAAAGAAAGAUAAAAGAAAAUCUAGUGAACAAGAAGUGACAAAAAAGGAAAUACGAUAAAAGGAAGAAGAAAAAGAAAAUGAAGUUAAAGAAAAGAAAGAACGGUAGGAAGAAGAAAAGAACGAAGACAGUGAAAUAGUUGAACGGACUAAAGAAAAGCAUAUCUAGUGAACGUUAAUGAAAAAAAAAGUGGAAAAAAUAGAAAAU